CCAGAAUUCCUCGCCCGUCCAAUUCCUCGCGGUAUGUUCGAAAAACAAAAACAAAUUACAUGGGCCUCGUUCAGUGAAGUUCGAAACAAAAUAGCCGAAACAAAUUCUACCUACGUUCGGCUACUGCCGAGGGCUUCACGAAGUUCGUUCUUUAUAUUUGUUAUUGUUUUCGAUCUACGUUCGGAGUAGCGGUUGCGAGAAUUCGUAAAUUAGAGAGAGAUGGAGAUGGAAGGAAGGGAGGAAAGAAAAUUGGUGUCAAAAACAAAGAGUAUUGCACCGACGUGAGAAUGACCUUUUUAAAAUAAGUAGAGUUAUUUAAAAAUAUUUAAGAUUAUAUUUAAUUAAUUUUUACGAAUAAAAUCGUGUGGGAUAUAAGCACGUAAGAAAAUGUGCUUUAGACAUGGCCGAAAUGUUCAUGUUUGAUUAUUGGCCCUUUGUGAAUCUAAUUGCAAGGCAUUGCCUUGUCGGCUAUACCCUGACACGCGCGAGAAUUUUCGGUGUUCGGUUUUGUCUUCUAAUUCUCUUUGCAUUUUGAGUUGACUGCUGUUGCAUUCAGAAGUGUUUUGCGUAUUAGUUGCGUAAAAAUGAAAUAUUAUAAGACGGUGUGAAUGGGAUUCAGUACGGAAUUACAAAGUUUUUUUUAUCCAGUUUAAGUUGAUAAAACAAGUUUCUUAAAGGACACAGCAGCCGACAAAGGAGGCCCGUGACACGCACUUAUGUAUGUACAUAUGUAUAUAUAUGUACAUGUUUAAUUUUGCAGAAAAAUGUAAUGCUACCAAAAAAGUGAAGAUAAAUAAAAAUAUGCAAUCCAUAAAUAAAUAAGAAUUAAAUUACAUCGGAUUUUUAUAGGAAGGGGGGAUUUUUCAGGAA